AUGCACGCCGGUUCUGAGCGCACCGCCACAUCGAUCCGGCAACUGCUCGCUACGUUUUGCUAGCC
rnacentral:sRNA from 1 species